rnacentral:rRNA from 1 species
CAGCCGCCACGGUAAUACGAAGGGUGCAAGCGUUAAUCGGAAUUACUGGGCGUAAAGCGUGCGUAGGUGGUGGUUUAAGUCCGUUGUGAAAGCCCCGGGCUCAACCUGGGAAUUGCAGUGGAUACUGGGUCACUAGAGUGUGGUAGAGGAUAGUGGAAUUUCCGGUGUAGCAGUGAAAUGCGUAGAGAUCGGAAGGAACAUCUGUGGCGAAGGCGACUAUCUGGGCCAACACUGACACUGAGGCACGAAAGCGUGGGGAGCAAACAGGAUUAGAUACCCCGGUAGUCCCUGUCUCUUAUAC